AGAGUUUGAUCCUGGCUCAGGAUGAACGCUAGCUACAGGCUUAGCACAUGCAAGUCGAGGGGAAACGACAUCGAAAGCUUGCUUUUGAUGGGCGUCGACCGGCGUACGGGUGAGUAACGCGUAUCCAACCUGCCCACCACUUGGGGAUAACCUUGCGAAAGUAAGACUAAUACCCAAUGAUAUCUCUAGAAGACAUCUGAAAGAGAUUAAAGAUUUAUCGGUGAUGGAUGGGGAUGCGUCUGAUUAGCUUGUUGGCGGGGUAACGGCCCACCAAGGCAACGAUCAGUAGGGGUUCUGAGAGGAAGGUCCCCCACAUUGGAACUGAGACACGGUCCAAACUCCUACGGGAGGCACCA
rnacentral:rRNA from 1 species